rnacentral:lncRNA from 1 species
UGAAAAUCAGCAGCAUUCCACUGGGAACAUCAAUUUGGAACACCGUCUGGUCCCACAUUAUGCCUCAGGUGUAGGCAGAAUUGAAGAGGCUGCCUCAGAGUAACACGGACAUUAUAUUGUAUAAGGUGACAUUAGAAAUUCAGAUGAUAAAUAAGCACUGAUUUAUUCAGAAAAUGACAUUUUAUUUAGUGUAGCUCUGCAAUUUGAAUAUUUACUAUAGUCUUCAAUACAAAUUUCUUCCUAAAAAAAGGUGUAUACAUCUGACACCGUGUCUGCAGCCAACAAACCACUUUGAGUAUUCAGAGGAUUUUGCAGGCUGCAAUAUUCUCAGAAACAAGAGGGAAGUCCUGUGUAAUGAAAUGUCCAUUCAUUUUCAUGUUACGCUGUUCUGCCCAUUCUUUUCUUCUCUCAUAUAUCAUGCCUUUAAUAACACAAGUGAUUCUGCCACUGGUCCAUCAGCUCAGCAUCCUUUUUCAAACUGUUGCCAACCUGCUGUGUCCAAAAAGCAGGCGAUUGCCACUUGUUCCGGCACAAUGCCAGCUGAUGUUCCCAAGGUCUGCCCCAGUGCUGCAGGAGGAUGCAUGGCACACUGUCUCCAGCACAACUAAGAGCAAAGCAUACUAAAUGAAUUAAGUACCAUAUGAUAAAGUGAAAAUAAUUUUAAAGAGCUUAUUUUAGUACUUUCAGUAUUUUUUCAAAUAAUAUUUCAAUUGAAAUGAAGAUGCAGAACUUUAGGCAUCAUGCCUUUGAAACAGUUUCUGUUUGAGGGUUUCACUUCUACCUACUAUUAGAAUGUGUAAUUAAGUUGUAAAAACAGCAUUAAAAACGGUGAGAAUUAUCCAUAUCCACAUUAUAUUUGGGCAGUUGGGCACAGACUAAAUCACAAGCAACCAGAAGAAAAAUUUAAGGAGAAAGAGCUACUUAAAGAUAAUCAUCUGAUAACUAUUUUACUGCCUCUGUCCUAUCAUCAGAAUGCAUGGUUUCUGAUAGGUCUGUAAAGCAGUCUGCACUCUGAAGAGCUCCAUU